AGGGGCAGCACAGGUAGCAAUACCGGGUGGCGACCGGCGCACGGGUGAGUAACGCGUAUGCAACUUACCUAUCAGAGGGGGAUAACCCGGCGAAAGCCGGACUAAUACCGCGUGAAGCAGGGGCCCCGCAUGGGGAUAUUUGCUAAAGAUUCAUCGCUGAUAGAUAGGCAUGCGUUCCAUUAGGCAGUUGGCGGGGUAACGGCCCACCAAGCCGACGAUGGAUAGGGGUUCUGAGAGGAAGGUCCCCCACAUUGGUACUGAGACACGGACCAAACUCCUACGGGAGGCAGCAGUGAGGAAUAUUGGUCAAUGGGCGUAAGCCUGAACCAGCCAAGUCGCGUGAGGGAUGAAGGUUCUAUGGAUCGUAAACCUCUUUUAUAAGGGAAUAAAGUGCGGGACGUGUCCCGUUUUGUAUGUACCUUAUGAAUAAGGAUCGGCUAACUCCGUGCCAGCAGCCGCGGUAAUACGGAGGAUCCGAGCGUUAUCCGGAUUUAUUGGGUUUAAAGGGUGCGUAGGCGGCCUUUUAAGUCAGCGGUGAAAGUCUGUGGCUCAACCAUAGAAUUGCCGUUGAAACUGGGAGGCUUGAGUAUGUUUGAGGCAGGCGGAAUGCGUGGUGUAGCGGUGAAAUGCAUAGAUAUCACGCAGAACCCCGAUUGCGAAGGCAGCCUGCCAAGCCAUGACUGACGCUGAUGCACGAAAGCGUGGGGAUCAAACAGGAUUAGAUACCCUGGUAGUCCACGCAGUAAACGAUGAUCACUAGCUGUUUGCGAUACAGUGUAAGCGGCACAGCGAAAGCGUUAAGUGAUCCACCUGGGGAGUACGCCGGCAACGGUGAAACUCAAAGGAAUUGACGGGGGCCCGCACAAGCGGAGGAACAUGUGGUUUAAUUCGAUGAUACGCGAGGAACCUUACCCGGGUUUGAACGCAUUUCGACCGCUCUGGAAACAGAGCCUCUAGCGAUAGCGAUUUGCGAGGUGCUGCAUGGUUGUCGUCAGCUCGUGCCGUGAGGUGUCGGCUUAAGUGCCAUAACGAGCGCAACCCUUGCCACUAGUUACUAACAGGUGAUGCUGAGGACUC
rnacentral:rRNA from 1 species